CGGCGAGUGAAGCGGGAUGAGCUCAAGCUUAAAAUCUCCAUGCAAAUUUUGCAUGGCGAAUUGUAGUCUAUAGAGGCGUGAUUAGCGUAGGCACUUGGGGUAAGUUCCUUGGAAGAGGACAGCAUCGAGGGUGAUACUCCCGUUUUUCCCCGAGUUGCUUAUGCGUACAAUCCGUUUUCUUUGAGUCGCGUUGUUUGAGAAUGCAGCGCAAAGUAGGUGGUAAAUUCCAUCUAAAGCUAAAUAUUGGUGCGAGACCGAUAGCAUACAAGUACCGUGAGGGAAAGAUGAAAAGAACUUUGAAAAGAGAGUUAAAGAGUACCUGAAACUGCUGAAAGGGAACCAAAUCGUUUUUAGUGUUCAUAAUCCGUGGUAUAUUCCAUUGGCGAAUGUGUGCGUGCGUGUACUAUGGCAGCGGCUUUUUGCUGCGCCUUGUGUGUGUGUGCAUUUUCUUGCCGAUGCCCUGUACCGUGGUGGGACGUCAUUGUCGGUUCGUAAACUGCGGGAAAUGACUGCCGAGGAGGUAGGGCGAACGCUUGCGUUUGUCUGUUAUAUCUUGGCGGACGUAGUAGUCGCGGUUGGGACUGAGGUGCCUACAAUGUGCUUAUAUGAGUGGGAUCGAGUCUCCUUUUGCGCUGUGUGCGAAUAGCUUGCUAUGCGUGUGUGGCUGCAUGUGGAUUGA
rnacentral:rRNA from 2 species